rnacentral:rRNA from 1 species
GUAGGGAAUAUUGGGCAAUGGUCGGAAGACUGACCCAGCCAUGCCGCGUGCAGGAAGACGGCCCUCUGGGUUGUAAACUGCUUUUAUCUGGGAAGAAAAAGGCCAUGCGUGGCAAAUUGCCGGUACCAGAUGAAUAAGCACCGGCUAACUCCGUGCCAGCAGCCGCGGUAAUACGGAGGGUGCGAGCGUUGUCCGGAUUUAUUGGGUUUAAAGGGUGCGUAGGCGGCUGAUUAAGUCAGCGGUGAAAGACUUCGGCUUAACCGGAGCAGUGCCGGUGAUACUGGUUGGCUUGAGUGUCUGAGGGGUACAUGGAAUUGAUGGUGUAGCGGUGAAAUGCAUAGAUACCAUCAGGAACACCGAUAGCGAAGGCAUUGUACUGGCCGACAACUGACGCUGAUGCACGAAAGUGUGGGGAUCGAACAGGAUUAGAAACCCCGGUAGUCC